GUCAUUGUGGCAUAGUGGGUUGAGUGUUGGACUACAACUCUGGAGAUCAGGGUUUGAUUCCCCUCUCGGUCAUG